rnacentral:rRNA from 1 species
GACGAACGCUGGCGGCGUGCCUAAUACAUGCAAGUAGAACGCACAGUUUAUACCGUAGCUUGCUACACCAUAGACUGUGAGUUGCGAACGGGUGAGUAACGCGUAGGUAACCUGCCUGGUAGCGGGGGAUAACUAUUGGAAACGAUAGCUAAUACCGCAUAAUAUUAAUUAUUGCAUGAUAAUUGAUUGAAAGAUGCAACUGCAUCACUACCAGAUGGACCUGCGUUGUAUUAGCUAGUAGGUGAGGUAACGGCUCACCUAGGCGACGAUACAUAGCCGACCUGAGGGGGUGAUCGGCCACACGGGGACUGGGACACGGCCCAGACUCCUACGGGAGGCAGCAGUAGGGAAUCUUCGGCAAUGGACGAAAGUCUGACCGAGCAACGCCGCGUGAGCGAAGAAGGUUUUCGGAUCGUAAAGCUCUGUUGUAAGAGAAGAACGGGUGUGAGAGUGGAAAGUUCACACUGUGACGGUAUCUUACCAGAAAGGGACGGCUAACUACGUG